rnacentral:rRNA from 1 species
AACGUAGGAGACAAACGUUAUCCGGAGUUACUGGGCGUAAAGGGCGUGUAGGCGGUUAGUUAAGUCUGGCGUGAAAGCUCUCGGCUAAACCGGGAGAGGUCGUUGGAUACUGGCUGACUUGAGUCCGGUAGGGGGGUGUGGAAUUCCCGGUGUAGCGGUGAAAUGCGCAGAUAUCGGGAGGAACACCAGUAGCGAAGGCGGCACCCUGGGCCGGUACUGACGCUGAGGAGCGAAAGCGUGGGGAGCAAACAGG